rnacentral:tRNA from 1 species
UUAGCUUUAGCGAAAGCUUGCUCGAGGCUAAAGCUCGAGCAAGCUAAAGCUA